CCUACGGGUGGCAGCAGUAGGGAAUUUUCGUCAAUGGGCGCAAGCCUGAACGAGCGAUGCCGCGUGAGUGAAGAAGGCCUUCUGGGCGUAAAGCUCUGUUGCGAGGGAAAAAAAGCAGCAUCAGGAAAUGGGUGCUGACUGAUGGUGCCCCGCCAGAAAGUCACGGCUAACUCCGUGCAAGCAGCCGCGGUAAUACGUAGGUGGCGAGCGUUAGCCGGAAUGGUUUGGCGUAAAGGGUGCGCAGGCGGUCCGUCAAGUUUGGAGUGAAACGCAUGAGCUCAAAUCAUGCAUGGCUUGGGAAACUGGAGGGCUGGAGAGCAGGAGAGGGCGGUGGAACGCCAUGUGUAGCGGUAAAAUGCGUAGAUAUAUGGAAGAACACCAGUGGCGAAGGCGGCCGACUGGCCUGUUGCUGACGCUGAGGCACGAAAGCGUGGGGAGCAAAUAGGAUUAGAUACCCCGGUAGUC
rnacentral:rRNA from 1 species